rnacentral:rRNA from 1 species
UACGUAGGGCGCGAGCGUUGUCCGGAAUUAUUGGGCGUAAAGAGCUCGUAGGCGGUUUGUCGCGUUGUUCGUGAAAACUCACAGCUUAACUGUGGGCGUGCGGGCGAUACGGGCAGACUUGAGUACUGCAGGGGAGACUGGAAUUCCUGGUGUAGCGGUGGAAUGCGCAGAUAUCAGGAGGAACACCGGUGGCGAAGGCGGGUCUCUGGGCAGUAACUGACGCUGAGAAGCGAAAGCAUGGGGAGCGAACAGG